rnacentral:rRNA from 1 species
GAUGAACGCUGGCGGCGUGCCUAAUACAUGCAAGUCGAGCGAAUGGAUUAAGAGCUUGCUCUUAUGAAGUUAGCGGCGGACGGGUGAGUAACACGUGGGUAACCUGCCCAUAAGACUGGGAUAACUCCGGGAAACCGGGGCUAAUACCGGAUAACAUUUUGAACCGCAUGGUUCGAAAUUGAAAGGCGGCUUCGGCUGUCACUUAUGGAUGGACCCGCGUCGCAUUAGCUAGUUGGUGAGGUAACGGCGCACCAAGGCAAAGAUGCGUAGCCGGCCUGAGAGAGUGAUCGGCCACACUGGGCAUGAGACACGGCACAGACUCCUACGGGAGGCAGCAGUAGGGAAUCUUCCGCAAUGGACGAAAGUCUGACGGAGCAACGCCGCGUGAGUGAUGAAGGCUUUCGGGUCGUAAAACUCUGUUGUUAGGGAAGAACAAGUGCUAGUUGAAUAAGCUGGCACCUUGACGGUACCUAACCAGAAAGCCACGGCUAACUACGUGCCAGCCGCCGCGGUAA